rnacentral:lncRNA from 1 species
UUCUAACUGAAUAAAAACAAGAUGUCGCUAAUUCAACUGACCAUUUACUUACUUUUUCUUUUCUCUUUUUCACUUUAGGGUUUCUUAGACGUAGAGGAAAUGAAUUGUAGGCCUUUAGUAGCCCUAAUUUGACAAAGCAUUAGAAAAUUUGACAAAGCAUUAGAAAAAAGACCAAAGGAGGGCGGUUAAGGCCUAAUCGUAUCCUUUUCCCAAAAAAAAAAAAAAGUAAUUAAUCAAACAAAGUAACAAGUCGACAUUGACAUGAGUCACCAAUGAUGAUGAAGGAAAAUUGGCUAGGGUCGGCUUAUACAUCCCUCUAUUCUCUUAUCCAAUCCAUCACUGACUCUGUUUUUUUAUGUAGGAAUGAUGCAACUUUAUAGGGCUGUGAGUAUAUUUUUAAGAAAAUAUAUUCCAAUUUGGUCAAGAAAAAAGGGUGGGGGAAGGAUGGGGGCAUUGGAAAAACUAUAAUCCACCCAAAGAAACGCCAGGGAGAAAAGGAGAAGCUUCAUCUUCCUUUUUCGGCAGCACAAAACACUUUUGCAGACGUCGGCUUCGCACCAAAUGCAAUGCUUACCAAGUCCCCGUCACCUGCUGCUGGCUAUUGCAGGGGACAUGCCAAUUGGCAUCUCACUUUUGUGAACUGACAUGCAUGGGUCGAAGGGAGUUUCAGUGUACUCGAAAUAUAAGAAAUAUAUUACGUAUCAUUGUAUAAAUAAAAGAACAGUGAAUAAUAUAUUUAUAUUUUCACUUAUAUUAUGAUGUACGAAAUAAUCUCUUAUGAGUCAGGCAUUUGAGUCUUUGCUUAUAGAGAUUUAAAUA